UACAUCAGCCGUGCCACCAUGAACAUGCCUGAUAUCAUCUAAUCUCGGAACUAAGAGUUGGGUUGAGUUAGUUCUUGAAUGGGAGACCACCUGGAACUGCCAGGUGCUUUAA
rnacentral:rRNA from 1 species